GUUCCGUAUGGAAGGGCCAUCGAUCAACGGAUAAAAGCUACCCUGGGGAUAACAGGCUUAUCUCCCCCAAGAGUUCACAUCGACGGGGAGGUUUGGCACCUCGAUGUCGGCUCGUCGCAUCCUGGGGCUGAAGUCGGUCCCGAGGUUUGGGCUGUUCGCCCAUGAAAGCGGCACGCGAGCUGGGUWCAGAACGUCGUGAGACAGUUCGGUCCCUAACCGUCGCGGGCGUAGGAAAUUUGAGAGGAUCUGCUCCUAGUACGAGAGGACCAGAGUGGACUUACCGCUGGUGUACCAGUUGUCUUGCCAAAGGCAUCGCUGGGUAGCUAUGUAGGGAAGGGAUAAGCGCUGAAAGCAUCUAAGUGCGAAGCCCACCUCAAGAUGAGAUUUCCCAUGAUUUUAUAUCAGUAAGAGCCCUGAGAGAUGAUCAGGUAGAUAGGUUAGGAGUGUAAUUGUGGUGACACAUUUAGCGGACUAAUACUAAUAGCUCGAGGACUUAUCCAAAA
rnacentral:rRNA from 1 species